rnacentral:rRNA from 1 species
GAAACAUCUUCGGGUUGUGAGGUUAAGCGACUAAGCGUACACGGUGGAUGCCCUGGCAGUCAGAGGCGAUGAAGGACGUGCUAAUCUGCGAUAAGCGUCGGUAAGGUGAUAUGAACCGUUAUAACCGGCGAUUUCCGAAUGGGGAAACCCAGUGUGAUUCGUCACACUAUCAUUAACUGAAUCCAUAGGUUAAUGAGGCGAACCGGAGGAACUGAAACAUCUAAGUACCCCGAGGAAAAGAAAUCAACCGAGAUUCCCCCAGUAGCGGCGAGCGAACGGGGAGGAGCCCAGAGCCUGAAUCAGUGUGUGUGUUAGUGGAAGCGUCUGGAAAGGCGCGCGAUACAGGGUGACAGCCCCGUACACAAAAAUGCACAUGCUGUGAGCUCGAUGAGUAGGGCGGGACACGUGGUAUCCUGUCUGAAUAUGGGGGGACCAUCCUCCAAGGCUAAAUACUCCUGACUGACCGAUAGUGAACCAGUACCGUGAGGGAAAGGCGAAAAGAACCCCGGCGAGGGGAGUGAAAAAGAACCUGAAACCGUGUACGUACAAGCAGUGGGAGCACGCUUAGGCGUGUGACUGCGUACCUUUUGUAUAAUGGGUCAGCGACUUAUAUUCUGUAGCAAGGUUAACCGAAUAGGGGAGCCGAAGGGAAACCGAGUCUUAACUGGGCGUUAAGUUGCAGGGUAUAGACCCGAAACCCGGUGAUCUAGCCAUGGGCAGGUUGAAGGUUGGGUAACACUAACUGGAGGACCGAACCGACUAAUGUUGAAAAAUUAGCGGAUGACUUGUGGCUGGGGGUGAAAGGCCAAUCAAACCGGGAGAUAGCUGGUUCUCCCCGAAAGCUAUUUAGGUAGCGCCUCGUGAAUUCAUCUCCGGGGGUAGAGCACUGUUUCGGCAAGGGGGUCAUCCCGACUUACCAACCCGAUGCAAACUGCGAAUACCGGAGAAUGUUAUCACGGGAGACACACGGCGGGUGCUAACGUCCGUCGUGAAGAGGGAAACAACCCAGACCGCCAGCUAAGGUCCCAAAGUCAUGGUUAAGUGGGAAACGAUGUGGGAAGGCCCAGACAGCCAGGAUGUUGGCUUAGAAGCAGCCAUCAUUUAAAGAAAGCGUAAUAGCUCACUGGUCGAGUCGGCCUGCGCGGAAGAUGUAACGGGGCUAAACCAUGCACCGAAGCUGCGGCAGCGACGCUUAUGCGUUGUUGGGUAGGGGAGCGUUCUGUAAGCCUGUGAAGGUGUGCUGUGAGGCAUGCUGGAGGUAUCAGAAGUGCGAAUGCUGACAUAAGUAACGAUAAAGCGGGUGAAAAGCCCGCUCGCCGGAAGACCAAGGGUUCCUGUCCAACGUUAAUCGGGGCAGGGUGAGUCGACCCCUAAGGCGAGGCCGAAAGGCGUAGUCGAUGGGAAACAGGUUAAUAUUCCUGUACUUGGUGUUACUGCGAAGGGGGGACGGAGAAGGCUAUGUUGGCCGGGCGACGGUUGUCCCGGUUUAAGCGUGUAGGCUGGUUUUCCAGGCAAAUCCGGAAAAUCAAGGCUGAGGCGUGAUGACGAGGCACUACGGUGCUGAAGCAACAAAUGCCCUGCUUCCAGGAAAAGCCUCUAAGCAUCAGGUAACAUCAAAUCGUACCCCAAACCGACACAGGUGGUCAGGUAGAGAAUACCAAGGCGCUUGAGAGAACUCGGGUGAAGGAACUAGGCAAAAUGGUGCCGUAACUUCGGGAGAAGGCACGCUGAUAUGUAGGUGAAGCGACUUGCUCGUGGAGCUGAAAUCAGUCGAAGAUACCAGCUGGCUGCAACUGUUUAUUAAAAACACAGCACUGUGCAAACACGAAAGUGGACGUAUACGGUGUGACGCCUGCCCGGUGCCGGAAGGUUAAUUGAUGGGGUUAGCGCAAGCGAAGCUCUUGAUCGAAGCCCCGGUAAACGGCGGCCGUAACUAUAACGGUCCUAAGGUAGCGAAAUUCCUUGUCGGGUAAGUUCCGACCUGCACGAAUGGCGUAAUGAUGGCCAGGCUGUCUCCACCCGAGACUCAGUGAAAUUGAACUCGCUGUGAAGAUGCAGUGUACCCGCGGCAAGACGGAAAGACCCCGUGAACCUUUACUAUAGCUUGACACUGAACAUUGAGCCUUGAUGUGUAGGAUAGGUGGGAGGCUUUGAAGUGUGGACGCCAGUCUGCAUGGAGCCGACCUUGAAAUACCACCCUUUAAUGUUUGAUGUUCUAACGUUGACCCGUAAUCCGGGUUGCGGACAGUGUCUGGUGGGUAGUUUGACUGGGGCGGUCUCCUCCUAAAGAGUAACGGAGGAGCACGAAGGUUGGCUAAUCCUGGUCGGACAUCAGGAAGUUAGUGCAAUGGCAUAAGCCAGCUUGACUGCGAGCGUGACGGCGCGAGCAGGUGCGAAAGCAGGUCAUAGUGAUCCGGUGGUUCUGAAUGGAAGGGCCAUCGCUCAACGGAUAAAAGGUACUCCGGGGAUAACAGGCUGAUACCGCCCAAGAGUUCAUAUCGACGGCGGUGUUUGGCACCUCGAUGUCGGCUCAUCACAUCCUGGGGCUGAAGUAGGUCCCAAGGGUAUGGCUGUUCGCCAUUUAAAGUGGUACGCGAGCUGGGUUUAGAACGUCGUGAGACAGUUCGGUCCCUAUCUGCCGUGGGCGCUGGAGAAUUGAGGGGGGCUGCUCCUAGUACGAGAGGACCGGAGUGGACGCAUCACUGGUGUUCGGGUUGUCAUGCCAAUGGCACUGCCCGGUAGCUAAAUGCGGAAGAGAUAAGUGCUGAAAGCAUCUAAGCACGAAACUUGCCCCGAGAUGAGUUCUCCCUGACUCCUUGAGAGUCCUGAAGGAACGUUGAAGACGACGACGUUGAUAGGCCGGGUGUGUAAGCGCAGCGAUGCGUUGAGCUAACCGGUACUAAUGAACCGUGAGGCUUAACCUU